rnacentral:rRNA from 1 species
CUACGGGAUGCUCCAGUGAGGAAUUUUGCGCAAUGGGGGGAACCCUGACGCAGCAACGCCGCGUGAGUGAUGAAGGCUUUCGGGUCGUAAAGCUCUGUCAAGUGGGAAGAACCUAUGCAGUGUUAAUAUCACUGUAUACUGACGGUACCACUGAAGGAAGCACCGGCUAACUCCGUGCCAGCAGCCGCGGUAAUACGGGGGGUGCAAGCGUUAUUCGGAAUCAUUGGGCGUAAAGGGCACGUAGGCGGCUUGGUAAGUCAGAUGUGAAAGCCCGGGGCUUAACCCGGGAAGUGCAUUUGAUACUGUCAAGCUUGAGUAGGGGAGAGGGAAGUGGAAUUCCUGGUGUAGAGGUGAAAUUCGUAGAUAUCAGGAGGAACACCGGUGGCGAAGGCGACUUCCUGGACCAAUACUGACGCUGAGGUGCGAAGGCGUGGGUAGCAAACAGGAUUAGAUACCCUUGUAGUC